rnacentral:rRNA from 1 species
GACGAACGCUGGCGGCGUGCUUAACACAUGCAAGUCGAACGGAAAGGCCCUGCUUUUGUGGGGUGCUCGAGUGGCGAACGGGUGGGUAACACGUGAGUAACCUGCCCUUGACUUUGGGAUAACUUCAGGAAACUGGGGCUAAUACCGGAUAGGAGCUCCUGCUGCAUGGUGGGGGUUGGAAAGUUUCGGCGGUUGGGAAUGGACUCGCGGCUUAUCAGCUUGUUGGUGGGGUAGUGGCUUACCAAGGCUUUGACGGGUAGCCGGCCUGGGAGGGUGACCGGCCACAUUGGGACUGAGAUACGGCCCAGAUUCCUACGGGAGGCAGCAGUGGGGAAUAUUGCACAAUGGGCGGAAGCCUGAUGCAGCAACGCCGUGUGCGGGAUGACGGCCUUCGGGUUGUAAACCGCUUUCGCCUGUGACGAAGCGUGAGUGACGGUAAUGGGUAAAGAAGCACCGGCUAACUACGUG